AUGGGCAUAAUGGUUAUAACUAUGAACAAUGUCAGGGCUUUGAGGAAAAUAGUUGUGACAAAAAAGAGUUUAUGGAAGAAACCAAAUGAAGGAUUCACCUGUAUCAAUGUAGAUGCGGCGUUUGAUGAGACUACUGAAUCCGGCAGUGUAGGAGCAGUGGCCAGGGAUGAUAUGGGGAGUCAUGGCGCAUUGGCAAAUGAGUUGGGUGUAAACAGAAUUAUAAUCCAAUCGGAUUGUCUUGAAGCCAUCGAGGUACUUCAGGCUGGAGCGUUCUCCUCUACAUCGGCUGCUCCAUAUUAUGAUGAUAUAUGCAUUCAGGCUACUACCUUUGGCAAAGUUUGUUUUAGUUUCUGUAGUAGGGAUGCUAAUUAUGUUGCUCAUCAUCUAGCUAAAGAGGCUGAGAUUAACCCCUGUGUUUGGGUUGAUGAGCCACCUAGUUUCAUAGUACAUUUUCUUGUGGAUGAUGUAACUACCAUUUGA
rnacentral:rRNA from 1 species